rnacentral:rRNA from 1 species
UACGGGGGGGGCAAGCGUUGUUCGGAAUUACUGGGCGUAAAGAGCUCGUAGGCGGUUUGUCGCGUCUGCCGUGAAAGUCCGGGGCUCAACUCCGGAUCUGCGGUGGGUACGGGCAGACUAUAGUGAUGUAGGGGAGACUGGAAUUCCUGGUGUAGCGGUGAAAUGCGCAGAUAUCGGGAAGAACACCUAUGGCGAAGGCAGCUCUCUGGGACGGUACUGACGCUGAGACGCGAAAGCGUGGGGAGCGAACAGG